rnacentral:lncRNA from 1 species
CCGCAUUUUCGCACGCUUGCAGAACACAAGUGGGAUUUGUCCAUCUGUUCCUUUUUGUCUGGUCAUAACAAGAAAUUGUUGUCUGCAACGUCGAACGGCAUCAUGACCUUGCAAAACUCACAUGAUGCACAUGGUCACAUCAGUGAUCGGUCACCACCAACCACGGCUCAUUCACCAAGGCCCAUAUUUUUUUUCCGAACCUCUGACGCCGAUCUGUCUGGCUGCGCAGGGGAGCACAGCUACGUGGACGUGGUGGUGCCGACGAGGAGCGGUAAGGCGGUGCGGGUGGUGAUCGAGCCGGGCUUCCGCGGCGAGUUCGA